UAAUUGCAGUGAGCGGAGUCCCAGCGCAGAGCUCGUCGCGUCAGUACGCAGUACAGAAAGCAGCCAUGUAAACCGAAUAAGCCAUCCAGUGGAUUCACAGAAGGGACUAACGUGGAAGAGAAACGUACUGGCUGGCCCCCAAGCCCCGGAGAGCAGAAUGGGGCCCCGUCCUGGAGAAGAAGGGUGUGACUGCAGCAGGCUGGAUGUUUCACUCUCUUCUCUUUGUGCUCUUCUUCAUCUGCUGUCAACCUAAGACAAGAUCGCCAAAGAAUGGAACCAGAUAUUGGAGAAGCAGGGAUUGUCUGCAGUAAUACUGUCAGUUGAUGAUUCUUCUGCUGACACCUAAACAUCACUGAGUCAGAGGAAUGUGCUGCAGUAACCUAAGGGCUGCUCUGAUCUAUCCACAAUGCAAAGAGCUCCGGCCUCCCACAGAUAAGGUGUUCCCAGUGUUGGUUUCAUAGCGAGAGGAUAAAGCACAGACUGCAGGAGAGGUACAUGUGAAGGGCGUGGAUGAAGGCUGCUGUGACCUACUGUACAAUCCAAUGCCUGGCAGACUCACAGUUUCCAAAAUCUAUGGAGCCUGGGAUGUAUCAUAGACUUUUCACUGUAAUUGUAAUCAAUGAGUUAUUUGAUCAAUUUAAAAGCAUUAUGAAUGUGCAUCUCAGUGAUGCAGUGAUAAACUCAAAGUAAAGAAUAUAUAGCCACAGCAA